AUGAGGCACCGACGAUGUCGUACAUUGCGCCCCGGAUGCCCAUGCCCUGAGAAGCAGCCCAAAACCAAGCUUGGCGUCCACCAUCUUCAAUUCCAACACCGGAGACACCAGGCGCAACCAAGACCGCGCCUUCAAGAAGGAUACGCCGUCGGGACGCCGCCGCUGUCCGCUUUGAGCCGGGAGACGAGUUCGUGUGUGAGACUCAAGGGGGAGGCGGACGCGGGCGAGGAGAUGGCAUCGGAGGACGUGGUGGGGAAGAGCAGGGGCGACACGGCCGUCAACACCAUCGUCAACCUGGCUGAGGAGGCCAAGCUCGCGCGCGAGGGCGUCAAGGGCCCCGGCCACCAGGUCCUCACCAUCUGCAAGUCCCUCUUCACCAGAGGCGUCGCCCGCGGCCUGUGA
rnacentral:rRNA from 1 species